GACGAACGCUGGCGGCGUGCUUAACACAUGCAAGUCGAACGAUGAAGAAGAGAAACGCGAACUUCGGUUCAAAUUUCACUUCGGAUUAGUGGCAGACGGGUGAGUAACGCGUGAGCAACCUACCUCUUACAAAGGGAUAGCCUCGGGAAACCGUGAUUAAUACCAUAUGACACAUUCAUAAGGCAUCUUAAGAAUGUUAAAGCUACGGCGGUAAGAGAUGGGCUCGCGUCCCAUUAGCUAGUUGGUGAGGUAGCGGCCCACCAAGGCGACGAUGGGUAACCGGCCUGAGAGGGUGAACGGUCACAUUGGAACUGAGACACGGUCCAAACUCCUACGGGAGGCAGCAGUGGGGAAUAUUGCACAAUGGAGGGAACUCUGAUGCAGCGACGCCGCGUGAGCGAUGAAGGAAUUCGUGUCGUAAAGCUCUGUUCUAUGGGAAGAAAAGGACUGUACCAUAGGAGAAAGCCCCGGCUAAAUACGUG
rnacentral:rRNA from 1 species